GACGAACGCUGGCGGCGUGCUUAACACAUGCAAGUCGAACGAGAGGAGAAGGAAGCUUGCUUCUUUCGAAUCUAGUGGCAAACGGGUGAGUAACACGUAAACAACCUGCCUUCAGGAUGGGGACAACAGACGGAAACGACUGCUAAUACCGAAUACGUUCCUUAGGUCGCAUGACUUUAGGAAGAAAGGGUGGCCUCUACUUGUAAGCUAUCGCCUGAAGAGGGGUUUGCGUCUGAUUAGGUAGUUGGUGAGGUAACGGCCCACCAAGCCGACGAUCAGUAGCCGGUCUGAGAGGAUGAACGGCCACACUGGAACUGAGACACGGUCCAGACUCCUACGGGAGGCAGCAGUGGGGAAUCUUCCGCAAUGGGCGAAAGUCUGACGGAGCAACGCCGCGUGAACGAUGACGGCCUCGGUUGUAAGGUUACUGUUAUUACGGACGGAAUGGCGUAGCGGUCGAAUACCGUU
rnacentral:rRNA from 1 species